GUGGAUCCAGUUGACAGAAGCACAAACAAAGCUCCCAGGAGGUCCUGAGAUAGAGUAACGAUGAGAAAACUGAAACUUGAUACGCAACAUUCUCAGGUGUAUGCGCCUUGCAGCGACCAUGAAUGACAGAAUCAAAAUUGUAGCCGACAGCGAUUGACUCACUGCUGCUGAGACGGACAGGCAUGCGUAGCCAACAAGAUACUCGGUAUUUAUCUCUAACCUCGUUGGAUAAGCCAGCUUCAGACCACUCAGAGAGCCA